AUUGAACGCUGGCGGCAUGCCUAACACAUGCAAGUCGAGCGGCAGAGGGGAGCUUGUUCCUUGUUUCCGCGGGGGACGCGUGCGUGAUGCCUAUGAAUCUGCCUGUUUGUAGUGGAUGACGUCCGCAACCGGGCGCUAAUACUACAUCCGUCUUGAUGCUGAAAGUGGGGGAUCUUCGGACCUCACUCUAUCUGAUGCUUCUAGGUCGGAUUAGCUAGUUGGUGGGGUAAAGGCCUACCAAGGCGACGAUCCGUAACUGGUCUGAGAGGAUGAUCAGUCACACUGGAACUGAGACACGGUCCAGACUCCUACGGGAGGCAGCAGUGGGGAAUAUUGGACAAUGGGCGAAAGCCUGAUCCAGCCAUGCCGCGUGUGUGAAGAAGGCCUUCGGAUUGUAAAGCACUUUUGGUAGGGAGGAAGAGCAGUAAGUUAAUAACGUGCGGUAUUGACGUUACCAACAGAAUAAGCACCGGCUAACUACGUG
rnacentral:rRNA from 1 species